UUCUUCUGUGUCCAGGUUGAGCGUCUCUUACUCGGUUUUGUGAGUGUCGAUGGUGUGGAAAAGCUCGCUCAGCUCCUCUGCACUUAGGAUUCCAUCAGCAAAGUAAGCCUUGAA